AACGAACGCUGGCGGCAGGCCUAACACAUGCAAGUCGAGCGAGGUAGCAAUACCUAGCGGCGGACGGGUGAGUAACGCGUGGGAACGUGCCCUUUGCUUCGGAAUAGCCCCGGGAAACUGGGAGUAAGACCGAAUGGGCCCUACGGGGGAAAGAUUUAUCGGCAAAGGAUCGGCCCGCGUGGGAUUAGGUAGUUGGUGGGGUAAUGUCCUACCAAGCCGACGAUCCAUAGCUGGUUUGAGAGGAUGAUCGGCCACACUGGGCAUGAGACACGGCCCAGACUCCUGCGUGAGGCAGCAGUGUGGAAGCUUAGACAAUGGGUGCAAGCCUGAUGUAGGCAUGCCGCGUGAGCGAUGAAGGCCUUAGGGUUGGAAAGCUCUUUCGUGGGGGAAGAUAAUGACGGUACCCCAAGAAGAAGCCCCGGAUAACUCCGUGACAGCCGCCGCGGUAAGAC
rnacentral:rRNA from 1 species